rnacentral:rRNA from 1 species
GACGAACGCUGGCGGCGUGCUUAACACAUGCAAGUCGAACGGAAAGGCCCUGCUUUCAGGGUACUCUAGUGUCGCACGGGUGAGUAACACGCGGGAGUUCUCCGCUGCACUCCGGGAUAAGCCUUGGAAACAGGGGCUAAUACCGGAUAGGAGCCAUCCUGAGUGUGAUGGUUGGAAAGUUUUUUCGGUGUAGGAUGAGCUCGCGGCCUAUCAGCUUGUUGGUGGGGUAAUGGCUUACCAAGGCGGCGACGGGUAGCCGGCCUGAGAGGGUGGACGGCCACAUUGGGACUGAGAUACGGCCCAGACUCCUACGGGAGGCAGCAGUGGGGAAUAUUGCACAAUGGGCGGAAGCCUGAUGCAGCGACGCCGCGUGGGGGAUGACGGCCUUCGGGUUGUAAACUGCUUUCGCCAGGGACGAAGCGUGUGGGGCGGUUACGGGGAUAGAAGGCACCGCCAACUUAGGU